GACGAACGCUGGCGGCGUGCUUAACACAUGCAAGUCGAACGGAAAGGCCCUGCUUGCAGGGUACUCGAGUGGCGAACGGGUGAGUAACACGUGGGUGAUCUGCCCUGCACUUCGGGAUAAGCCUGGGAAACUGGGUCUAUUACCGGAUAGGAGCCAUUUUUAGUGUGAUGGUUGGAAAGUUUUUUCGGUGUAGGAUGAGCUUGCGGCCUAUCAGCUUGUUGGUGGGGUAAUGGCCUACCAAGGCGGCGACGGGUAGCUGGCCUGAGAGGGUGGACGGCCACAUUGGGACUGAGGGACGGCCCAGACGCCUACGAGAGGCAGCAGGGGGGAAGAUUGCACAAGGGGCGCAAGCCUGAUGCAGCGACGCCGCGUGGGGGAUGACGGCCUUCGGGUUGUAAACGCCUUUCGCUAGGGACGAAGCUUUUUGUGACGGUACCUAGAGAAGAAGCACCGGCUAACUACGUG
rnacentral:rRNA from 1 species